CCUACGGGAUGCAGCAGUGAGGAAUAUUGGUCAAUGGACGAGAGUCUGAACCAGCCAAGUAGCGUGAAGGAUGACUGCCCUAUGGGUUGUAAACUUCUUUUAUAUGGGAAUAAAAUGUUCCACGUUUGGGAUUUUGUAUGUACCAUAUGAAUAAGGAUCGGCUAACUCCGUGCCAGCAGCCGCGUUAAUACGGAGGUUCCGAGCGUUAUCCGGGUUUAUUGGGUUUAAAGGGAGCGUAGGUGGAUUGUUAAGUCAGUUGUGAAAGUUUGCGGCUCAACCGUAAAAUUGCAGUUGAAACUGGCAGUCUUGAGUACAGUAGAGGUGGGCGGAAUUCGUGGUGUAGCGGUGAAAUGCUUAGAUAUCACGAAGAACUCCGAUUGCGAAGGCAGUUCACUGGACUGCAACUGACACUGAGGCUCGAAAGUGUGGGUAUCAAACAGGAUUAGAUACCCGGGUAGUC
rnacentral:rRNA from 1 species